GGGUCGAUGGCGUAGCUGGUUAUCGCAUCUGUCUAACACACUGUGUACACAGAAGGUCCUCAGUUCGAACCUGGGUCGACUCA